CAAGUGAGAGGCGGAGAAGAAGAGAGAAUUUUAAGCAGACUCUGCAUGGACAUGGAAUUCAACAUGGGGCUCAAUCCCGUGACCCUGAGGUCAUGGCCUGAGCCGAAACCAAGAGUCAGACACUCAAACCACUGCAUCACUGACAUGCCCCACCCAAAUGCAAUUUUUAAGAUAAACUCUACGGCCAACAUAGAGCUCGCACUCAUGACCCUGAGGAUCGAGAGUUUCAUGCUCUACCAACUGAGCCAGCCAGGUGCCCCGGGAUUUGCAUUUUCAAACAAACUUCUCAAGCUAUUCUGUGUGUAAUACAAUAAAUUAAUGCAAAAAAAGGUACUGCAUGUUUAACUGAAAUGUUCAAGUGAAAUUCUUAUUUUUCAGAAGGGGAUCAGAGGGAAAUUAUUCCAGUGAGAAGAAAUAUUUGACACAAUAUAGAGGUUGGCUCCUUUGUGUGACCAUAUAUUUUAUGAGUUGCCAGGCGAAAUUUUUUUGGUGUCAAGUAAAUGUCAAAUUCUGGCUUUAUUCAAAUAGCUGGUUACCUCCCAAGUCACUUCCCAGUGGAAACAAGCCAAGAAAAUGUCACGCAUAUGCAUACAAGUGAUUUUUACAGCUAGCCCAGAGAGUUAGAGAUGCAGAUGGAGGAUAAGCUAAGUCACGAAAUCUUUCCUAGAUGUGGGGUCAGAUGGCACCACGGUCACAUAAAAGCAGCUUCUCCACACUAUUAAUGUGAUUCCCCGCUUCCCCCCUCCCCCAUUUUCAAAGUGGUGGUGAUGGUAGUGAUGAAAGGGGAGCAUACAGCCUCCAAGAAUACGUCACCCCAACAGAAAAGAAAGAUGCACGAGAUGUUGGUUGAAGGGCACAGACUUCCAGUUAUAAGACUAGGGAUCUAAAGUGCAGCAUUGCAGCAUGGUUAUAUACAAUCUGUAGAUGCUGUAAAAUACAUAUAAAAUAUACACACAUCUAUAUAUAAUACUGUAUUAGAUACUUAGAAGGUGCCCAGAGGGUAAAAGCUUAAGUGUUCUCACCACAAAACAGAAGCAGUAAUUGUAUGGUGUGAUACAGCGAGGGUGGUAGUCAUUUUGCAAUAUACACAGGGUAUCAGAUCAACACACUGUAUACCUCAAAUGUAUAUACGAUGUUACGUGUCAACUGUAUUUCAAUAAAACUAGAAAAAGAAAACUGCCAAAUACAACUGUUCUAGAGUAUCAAGUAUCCUUGGACAGAACUCAUUACUUUUCUUUUGUAGGGGUAUCCAGAGUUUGUGAGGCCUGAAAUGUACACAAUUCCAGCAGCUGUCUUUACAAAAAAAUAAUACAGAAAUAAUUAUGAAUACGCACACAGACACCAAUGAGAGAAUCUCAAGCAGACUCCCUGUUGAGUGUGGAGCCCAACUCAGGGCUUGGUGUCUCCACCCCUGAGACCAUGUCCUGAGCUGAAAUCAAGGGUCAGAUGCUUAACCAACUGAGCCACCCGGGGUCUCUGAGGCUAGGUCCUAAAAGGCCUUAGAGCUUCCGCUUGGCACUCUUGAACCACUGGCUCUUGAGAUGUUUUUUCUCCGAAUCCAGCUGCCAGGCUAUGAAAAGCCAAAACCUCAUGGAGAGGCUACUCAGCUGAUCAUGUAGCUGCCUCAGCUGAUCUCUUAGCUGAUGGCCGAUGUCACAAUUGCCAGCUCUGAGGGUGAGCUAUUCUGGACUACCUGCCCAUCUGGUCUUCAGAUGACUCCAGCCCCAGCUGAUAUCCAAGUGUGUCGUGAGAGACUCCCAGAGACAACCACCCAGCUGAGCCGUUGUGAGACUCUCCCAGAGACAACCACCCAGCUGAGCCCAGCCCACUCAUGGAACCAGGAAAGGACAGCAGAAGGAGGAGGGAGGUUGAUGAGCUUCACCGAGCAAGAAGAUGGGAGACCCGGCUGAGGCUCUUGCUCUUAUGUGGGGAGAGGCUGCAUCUUACCCUGUGACACGGGGAAAACAUGGUGCUGUGGACCAGACGAGAGUCCAAACGCCUCCACAUUCGACGGGCAGGCCAACGUUUGGUUGGCGGGGGCCUCUUGUGGAAUUCAGUUCUUGGCCAGAAAUCCCUGCCUUAGACCUUGGAAGAUAGGAAGGAGGCUCAGCAAACCUGGCGGCCUCUCUUUGGGUUUGGCAAACUCGAGAUUUUUCCAGCGCCUUGUGUUCAGCGAAACCGAAAAUGUGUUUGGCUAGAAACCCUUCUCUAAUUUUUAAACCCCUGAGCAUUUUUUACAUAAAUUUGAUACACAUGUUUUUGUCUUAUUUUUAUUUAGCUCAUCAAAUCGAAUUAGGAGCUAUAAUGAUGAAGGGAACAAUGCUGAUUUCCAAGAAGAUUUUGGAGCCUUUUUUUUCUUAGAACUAACUCGCAUUUUCUCCCUGACUGUUAAAAUUACCAGACUGAGCUGGAUUUGAAAUUUAGAACCCAAAUGUGAAAUAAAGAUCCAUGCUUGGCAAAGAUGAAGCAGAGCAGGGGAAUGUUCUUAGGAAGUCACAGUUGGA